rnacentral:lncRNA from 1 species
CCCUGGGGAUCUGCAGGACCAGGCAGGAGGCUCCAGAGAAGGGUCUCCAGGUGGGCGGGUGGGAGCAGGUGGGCCUGGGGAGCCGCCAGCCUCCAGCGCCCACGCACAGGCACAGCUGCCAGGUGAGCCUGUUGAGAGGCUGCCCCGCCGUGCGCGCCAGGCGGACAAUGGCUCCCUGUGUCUGCGCAGGCGGGGGAGGGGAGGCGCUGUUCCCAGGGCACCUGCCCGCCAGGGCUGGCCGCCGCAGCGCUGGCCCAGGACACUUGGCACAGAGCGCUUCUGGGCGCCUGAGGGCAGUGUGUGUGUGCACGUGUGUGCAUGAUGCUGUAGUGUGUGUGUGUGUGAUGCUGGAGUGUGUGUGCGUGAUGCUGGAGUGUGUGUGCGUGAGAUGCUGGAGUGUGUGCGUGUGAUGCUGGAGUGUGUGUGUGAGAUGCUGGAGUGUGUGUGUGAUGCUGGAGUGUGUGUGCGUGAUGCUGNNNNNNNNNNNNNNNNNNNNCAAAGCCGGGGCUCUGCUGUCCCCUAGGUGUCGAGAUGCCCCAUAGACAAACCCGGAGGGGACGGAGACACAGGCCGACCUGGGCGGCUCAUCCCCACCCGGGAGCACGGACCCAAAGGCCGCGGAGACGGAGGCACACACUGGACUCAGGACUCUGGAGCCAGACGGCUUGGGUUCAAACCCUGUCUCUGCCACUGAAUGGCUGUGUGACCUUGGGCAAGUCACACAGACUUUCUGUGCCCUAGUUUCCUCAUCUGCAAAAUGGGGACAAUCGCAAUCCCUCUAAAGUGUGCCACUGAAAAUCCUGCCCGUCACAGGAUGCCCUCUGAGCACACCCCAUGGUACACGGAUUGCGGUGGCACUGGUGUCACUUCCACGGGAGCGGGCUGUCCGGCGUGCGGCUCACCGCUAGUGUCUAGCAGAGUCCGCAUACGGUCGGUGCUCAGGGAGUCCUGGUUGAAUGAAUGAAACAGGGAGCACGUGUGACACACUGGGACAGCCCCGCUGCGUGGUGGCGGACCGUGCGUGGGGUUGCAUUGUCGCAGGGCGCUGGGCCGCGCAGAAGCCCAGCGGCUUCGUGGGGAUGGCGGUCGCCACCCCUUCCCCGCACGUUGUUCUGUCCCUGCGGAUGGGCCGAGCCCUCGCGGGCAACUGUCCCGUCUCAGUCUCGGUGCUUGAAGACAGGCGGGCUCCGGCGCUGCGACGUGUCUAUGGAGCCACGGCCCUGUGCGGGAGCAGUGACUUGGUUUCCCCACCUGGCCGUGGCUUACUCAGCGGCUGUCACGGUCUCCACUCUCUGAGGACGUUCCCAAGGUUGGGGCCCGACCACCCCCACUGCCCAGGAUCCCUGUUCCCUGUCAGCGACAGCACACAGAGCCCUCUGUCGGGGGUGGGGCCGGGGGGGGUGCAAAUCCAGCUGGCAGCCCCUGGGGACAACGUCCGGCCGCCGGUGCACGGAGCCACCAGGCAAACAUGCUCCAGUCCAGGGAGUGCACGGAGGACGCAGCUUCUGGAUCUUCCAGUCCGUCUUAGGAAGACCGAAAGGAGAGGCUCAGGUCUCAGAGACCAAAGGAGUGACGUGGUGGCCAAGGUCCCUGUGCCCAGCCCCUGCCAGCUGGUCCGGGGCUCUGGUGCCCACGCUCCCGAGGAGGCCGGAGCCGGGCUGGGGGUCGGGCCGGGCGUGCAGCCGCUUCCUCGGUCCUCCCACUUCCUUCCGCCUUCGCUCCGCUCUCAGCCCUGGCCCGGACGCGUGCAGCAGACAUGGGGGAGGGGGGUGGCCACCGUCCCUUCCUCGGGGACCAGCGGAGGGGGGGCUUUGCUCAGCGUGACGGGACAAGCUGGGGAUUCACCCGGGGUCCCCACCCUCUCCUCGAGCCGCUGCUGGAGUUCAGGCCUCUGUCUCCAGCUCUCUGCGCGCCCCACCUCUAUUGAGCACCCACUGUGUGCCUCACCCCUGGGGGCGAUGAAAGGGCCUCCAGCAGGGAAUGGCUUGAGCUGUUUGCAGAUCGGGGAGCGAGCGAGGGCUGAGUCCGGGAGGAGAGGUCAAGGGGUCACGGGGUCAGACGUGAGGGCCUUGGGGCCAGGAAUCCCAGACUUCCUUCUCCAGGGAACACCGUGGCCCUUCCCGUGA